AACGAACGCUGGCGGCAAGCCUAACACAUGCAAGUCGAACGCUCCAGCAAUGGAGAGUGGCAGACGGGUGAGUAACGCGUGGGAACCUUCCCUAUGGUUCGGAAUAGCUCAGGGAAACUUGAGGUAAUACCGGAUAAGCCCUUCGGGGAAGGAUUAUCGCCAUUGGAUGGGCCCGCGUAGGAUUAGCUAGUUGGUGAGGUAACGGCUCACCAAGGCGACGAUCCUUAGCUGGUCUGAGAGGAUGAUCAGCCACACUGGGACUGAGACACGGCCCAGACUCCUACGGGAGGCAGCAGUGGGGAAUAUUGGACAAUGGGCGCAAGACCUGAUCCAGCCAUGCCGCGUGAGUGACGAAGGCCUUAAGGGUUGUAAAGCUCUUUUUGGCGGGGGAAGAUAANGACGGGUACCCGCAGAAUAAGCUCCGGCUAACUUCGUGCCAGCAGCCGCCGUAAAC
rnacentral:rRNA from 1 species